ensembl:lncRNA
UAUACACAUAUGUAUAUACAUACGUAUAUAUACAUAUAUCAGGGCGGACUAACCCGUCCACGUCUUUCUCUGGACACACGGCGUUGGUGAUAAGUUCAGAGUCGAUGGAGGUCACGGAGUCCAGGGGAAGCUGGACUAUCAGACCAUGGACAGACGGGUUCUCAUUGAUGGACAGGAUGUGCUGCAGGACCUGCAGGACCAAAGGGAGUCACCAGGUGGAGUUGUACAGGUGGAGGUAAACAUAUGGAGGUUAACAGGUGGAGGUUAACAGGUGGAGGUUAACGGGUGGAGGUUAACUGCUGGAGGUUCACGGGUGGAGGUUCACGGGUGGAGGUUAACGGCUGGAGGUUAACGGGUGGAGGUCCACAUGUGGAGGUUCACGGGUGGAGGUUAACAGCUGGAGGUUCACGGGUGGAGGUUAACGGCUGGAGGCUAACGGGUGGAGGUUCACAGGUGGAGGUUAACAGGUGGAGGUUCACGGGUGGAGGAGUGUCACUGACCUCUUCCUGCGUUGUGGUUUUCGGUAAUCUCAGAUGUUUCGCUUCGAUUCCAAUCUGCAGAUGAGAAAAGAGUUAAUUGAAAAACAUUCUCUGUAGCGAUGAUGAUGAUGAUGAUGAUGAUGAUGAUGAUGAGCCACCCGUUGAUGGAUCAAUGAAAGGAGCCGUGGUCUGAUUGGUCCUCACCUCAGCUGCAGCUCGUAGCUUGGAGCUGAUGUAGAGGUUUGAAUCGUCUCUGUCUCCCACCUGCAACACAGUCCACGCCUUCAUAUCGCCGUAGCAACACCAGCACUAAAGUACUACACCUCUUUACCGAUUGUACUUGUACUCUACUUUACAGUCUUUACAUGUUCUGCUACAUAUUUUACUGCUUUUGUAGUUGAAGUAGUAAUACUACAAUGUAGAAGUACUCUGUCCCAAGUAAACAUCCUGCUUGGUACAGAAGUAACAUUAAAAUAUACUUAAACUACUACAAGCUAAUAAUAGUAAUAGAUUAAUCUUAUAUAUUAUAUAUAGUUUAUUAAUUAUUCUGAGACGUAGUGCAAAUAGGUCUACCCCAGUACUGCAGUACUAUGUAUUAGUACUAUGCGUUAGCAGUAGGGAUACUGAUUCUCAGAUUAAAACACUGAAAUAAUCUAAAUGUAAUUUCUGAUCUGAAACCAUGACCACUAGGGGAGUUUUGGGACCACGAGUGGACUGGGACCAGCAGGUCAAACAUUGGUGGGUCUCUGAGAGGAACUGGUUCUCAGUGGAUAGAAGCUGACUGAGAGAAAGAGCAGCUGGGUAAACACAGCCGACAAAGACCAGUUCAGGGGGCAGAGUCCAGGUCCCCUGAGAGCAGCUCACUACAUGUGGA